GAUGAACGCUGGCGGCGUGCUUAACACAUGCAAGUCGAACGGUGAAGGCGGAGCUUGCUCUGCUGGAUCAGUGGCGAACGGGUGAGUAACACGUGAGCAAUCUGCCCCUGACUCUGGGAUAAGCGCUGGAAACGGCGUCUAAUACUGGAUACGAGCUGCGAAGGCAUCUUCAGCAGCUGGAAAGAAUUUCGGUCAGGGAUGAGCGCGCGGCCUAUCAGCUUGUUGGUGAGGUAAUGGCUCACCAAGGCGUCGACGGGUAGCCGGCCUGAGAGGGUGACCGGCCACCCUGGGACUGAGACACGGCCCAGACUCCUACGGGAGGCAGCAGUGGGGAAUAUUGCACAAUGGGCGAAAGCCUGAUGCAGCAACGCCGCGUGAGGGACGACGGCCUUCGGGUUGUAAACCUCUUUUAGCAGGGAAGAAGCGAAAGUGACGGUACCUGCAGAAAAAGCGCCGGCUAACUACGUG
rnacentral:rRNA from 1 species